CAUCUGUUUAUUUAUUUUUUUUCACACUCCCCUCGUUGGAGAUGUGUUGCCUAGCAACGGGCUGUUGGACUCUAAACAGCCACGCACACAGUGGUCCGCAGGCACUUGGAGACACCGGGACAAUAUUUGAGUAUCUCCAAUGAACUUGCUAGAACCAACACAUCAUUACUUGGAAGAGGUAGUUCCUGGAAUUCAGUUAGAGUCACAUCUCAGGCAGUACCUGUUGGCUCCCCGUGAGGCAGAGGAAAGAUACAUCUCUGCAUAAUGACACGCAGGUAAAGAGAGCCCCUAGGAGCUCACAGAGACAGGAGGCCCUUGUGCUGUGGUGGGGAAUACCAUGAACUCCCUCAAUCAGGUAAGGCUUUUGGAGCAAUUACAACUGCCCCCCCCUAAGUUCUGAAAGUUUGAUUCUCUCCAUGGAAAACACAACAAUAUCUACCGAGAUAAUUUUCCUGUUCGAAGCAAUGAAAGGCGGGUCAUACUUCCCUUGGCUCUUCCCUGCCACUUGCCUUUGGAUUUAGGGUCAUGCCUCCAGAUACUAUCGCUGUGGUUUAGAUGUGAAGUGCCCCCUAGAGGUUCCUAUGUCACUAAAAGGCUUCCAGCCUUCUGGUGGCGCUGUUUUGUGAAACUUUAAGGUGUGGAACUUGGCUGGAGGCCGUAGCUCACUGAGGGUGAUUCUUGGGGGUAUCUUGUUCCUGGCCCCGUUUUGUUUCUCUCUCAGGUUCCUCUCUGUCAUGAAGCGAAUAAGCACCUUUUUGAAAUACUUCUGCCACCAUGAUGGUCUGCUGAAGCCCCUGGAACCAGGGUGUCAUAGACUGAACCCUCUGAAACCGUGGUCGGCAGUAACUCCUCCCUCAAAGAAGAGAGAGCUCGGAAGAAGCAGCUGCAGAAGAUGGGAGGCAUCAAGUGCAUGCUCGUAGACAACAAGCCAAUAAAGAAAGAGAAGCUAGCUCAGAUCCCGAAUCAUGACACAAGACGCAUGUACGGAAGGAGCAGGCUGAGGGAUAAAUCCACUUGACCACUAGGACAUCCAACAGGCUCUGAGAUGUGAGCAGCACUAUAAAAGGCAAGGGUAAGCUGUCAACUAAAGACAAUUGCUUGCAAUUCCCUAGAAGCAAAGGAACCCAGGUCCUUUCCUUUAUUUCUCACAGCAAGGAGGCUGCCUGCCUCCCCCUCCCAGGAAGGCAAGGCAGAAGUGCCCAGGCAGUGUGGAAUUCUGCAGAGACCUCCUCUGGUCUGUCUCUCAUCAGUCCCUUUUCCCUAGCACAGAGGGCUAGGGAAAGCCAGGUGUUCACCUUGCAGACAAGAGAUUGGAGAAUUCUCUGGAAAACCAAGAAUCUGGAGAAGAGAUCGAUCUAUAGACACUGACAUUUAAGGGUCUUCUAAUGAGAACUACCACUUGCAGCCUGAUCACCCCCAAAUGAGAGGACCCCAAAUGAGAGGACCUGGAUAAGUAAAACCCAACAGCCCCAAAGCCCUUUUACCCGACACACACUCCAACCCAUUUCCUUUUUUUAUAAAGUGUGGUCAACAUGAAAAGAAUGUGGACAAAUACAGCUUAAAUAAUUAGAUUAAAAA